AUGAACGCUGGCGGCGUGCUUAACACAUGCAAGUCGAACGGGAUCCAUCAAGCUUGCUUGGUGGUGAGAGUGGCGAACGGGUGAGUAAUGCGUGACCGACCUGCCCCAUACACCGGAAUAGCUCCUGGAAACGGGUGGUAAUGCCGGAUGCUCCAGUUGAUCGCAUGGUCUUCUGGGAAAGCUUUCGCGGUAUGGGAUGGGGUCGCGUCCUAUCAGCUUGACGGCGGGGUAACGGCCCACCGUGGCUUCGACGGGUAGCCGGCCUGAGAGGGCGACCGGCCACAUUGGGACUGAGAUACGGCCCAGACUCCUACGGGAGGCAGCAGUGGGGAAUAUUGCACAAUGGGCGCAAGCCUGAUGCAGCGACGCCGCGUGAGGGAUGGAGGCCUUCGGGUUGUAAACCUCUUUUAUCGGGGAGCAAGCGAGAGUGAGUUUACCCGUUGAAUAAGCACCGGCUAACUACGUGCCAGCAGCCGCGGUAAUACGUAGGGUGCAAGCGUUAUCCGGAAUUAUUGGGCGUAAAGGGCUCGUAGGCGGUUCGUCGCGUCCGGUGUGAAAGUCCAUCGCUUAACGGUGGAUCCGCGCCGGGUACGGGCGGGCUUGAGUGCGGUAGGGGAGACUGGAAUUCCCGGUGUAACGGUGGAAUGUGUAGAUAUCGGGAAGAACACCAAUGGCGAAGGCAGGUCUCUGGGCCGUUACUGACGCUGAGGAGCGAAAGCGUGGGGAGCGAACAGGAUUAGAUACCCUGGUAGUCCACGCCGUAAACGGUGGAUGCUGGAUGUGGGGCCCGUUCCACGGGUUCCGUGUCGGAGCUAACGCGUUAAGCAUCCCGCCUGGGGAGUACGGCCGCAAGGCUAAAACUCAAAGAAAUUGACGGGGGCCCGCACAAGCGGCGGAGCAUGCG
rnacentral:rRNA from 1 species